UUUUUUUUUUUUUUUAAGAUUUUAUUUAUUUAUUCAUGAGAGACACAGAGAGAGAGGAAGAGACAUAGGCAGAGGGAGAAGGCUCCAGGCAGGGAGCCCGAUGUAGGAUUUGAUCCCAGGACUCCAGGAUCACUCCGUGGGCUGAAGGCAGGCAUUAAACCGCUGAGCCUCCCAGGGAUCCCUCAAUAUUGGUUUCUUUUGAGGUGUUUUGCUGCAAAAGGGAGCUGGUUUAGUAGCAGAUAGACUAGGUAGUACCAUGUGUAUACACUCAUAGGAACAAUACAGUAGGGAAGAAAAUUAAUGACAUAGGAAAGGAAAGAAAUUAUGGCACAAAGACAUUGAAUGGAGGGAAUGGUUUUAAAAAGGAGAAUGAAUGGAGUGAUGGGCUGGCUCAGUCACGGAGCAUGAUUUGUCAUCUUGGGAGUUGUGAGUUUGAGCCCCAUGUGAGGUAUAGCAAUUACUUAAAAGUAAAAUCUUAAAACAACAACAAAAAACAACAUAAAAAGAGCAUGAACAACUCAGUAGGCAAGAUGGAAAUAUAUACAUGGGUGCAGAUAGUAGUGAGUAGAUGAUGCUGUGGGAGUCAAUGGAAAUUCUCCAAUUGCUUCAACUUUCUUAAUAAAGUAGGAGGAAAGGUCAUCUGUUGACAGAAAUAAUCAUGGGUCAAAGAAAUAAAGUAUGCUUGUCAGGUAGUAUUAAAUGCUUUCUUAAGGAUUCUUUUAAAGAUUUUAUUUGAGAGAGAGAGCACGAGGACAGAAGCUUAACCAACUGAGCCACCCAGGCACUCCCUUUCUUAAGGUUUUUCUUUUUUUUAAGAUUUUAUUUAUUUAUUCAAGAUUUUAUUUAUUUAUUCAGAGAGGGAGAGAGCACAAGCAAGGGGAGAGGGAGAGGUAGGCAAAAGGAGGAGAAGCAGACUCCCUGCUGAGCAGGGAACCGGAUGCAAUGCGAUGCAAUGUGAUGCGGGGCUCCAUCCCAGGACUCCGGGACCAUGACCUGAGCCAAAGGCAGAUGCUUAACCAACUGAACCAUCCAGGUGUCCCUGUUAAGAUUCCGAUCAGGAAUUUAUAUUAUUGCAGUGAGACUGGCCAACUUACUUUUCUCCAGCUACAUUCCACUACACGGGUGCAAGUGCAGAGCACACAGACUAGCCAAGGAUGUGGCUUGUUGGCAAAUAUUCACAAGAGUGGUGGUGACUGACAAUGGAAGGAAAAGAGGACGUCAGAAUGGUGAACAAGAUGGUAGCAUCCAUUUAUUGAUGGUCACAGUGACUCCAAAUUAAUGUAUUAGGGCAGCCCUGGUGGCUUGGUGGUUUAGUGCUGCCUUCGGCUCAGGGCGUGAUCCUGGGGACCCGGGAUCGAGUCCCACGUCGGGCUCCCUGCGUGGAGCCUGCUUCUCCCUCUGCCUGUGUCUCUGCCCCUCUCUCUCUCUGUCUCUCAUGAAUAAAUAAAAUAUUAAAAAAAUUAAUGUAUUAGAGGAAAUGGCCUAGCAAGAUAAUAGGUGGUCAGAGAGAGGGAUGCAUGAAAUUCAAACUAUAGUGACUGAAAAGACUGGUAAUGACUUGGGAAUGAAUGCCCAAGGAAGGUCAAAGACCUAAUCAAUGGACUUUCACAGGAACCAAGAGGCUUGCUAGUUGGAUCAUUUGUCAAUGGUUUUCAAACUUUAGCAUGUGUCAGAAUUACCUGGAAAACCAGUGAAACCACAGAUUGCUAGAUCCUACUCUCAGAAUUUCUAGGUCCGAUUCUGAGGAUUUUCAUUUCUAAGUUUCCUGGUGAUGUUGCUGCUGCUGUGGUCCAGGGACCAUACUUUGAAAAAUACUGAUCCAUGUGUAUGUUGAAAUUGCCAAUUAUUAACAUGUAAGUAGUUUUGCAGAGUGACAGCGAGCCAAGAGAAAAAGAUUGUCAAGAAAUAAAGAACAGCUGGGGUGUCUGGGUGGCUCAGUUGGUAGAGUCCAACUCUUGGUUUUGGCUCAAGUCAUGGUCUCAGGGGUCAUGAGACUGAGCCCUAUGUCCUGUUGGUCUCUGCACUCAGUGGGGAGUCUGCUUGAAAACUAUCUCCCUCUGCCCCCCUUGCUCCCCACCUCCCUGGCUUACAUGUGCACAUUCUCUCAAAAUCUUGAAAAAAAGGGCAGCCCUGGUGGCUCAGCGGGUUUAGCGCCGCCUCCAGCUCAGGGCGUGAUCCCGGGGACCCCGGGGUCGAGUCCCACAUCGGGCUCCCUGCAUGGAGCCUGCUUCUCCCUCUGCCUGUGUCUCUGCCUCUCUCUCUCUGUGUCUCUGAAUAAAUAAAAUGUUAAAAAAAAUACUGAAAAAAAGUAAACAUUAAAAAAAUGAAAUAAGUUUGGUGACUAAUGAACUGCAACCAUCAGGAAUAGUGGAUAAUGUGAUGAGAUCUAAAAUUGGCUUUUAUGGGGACUGGUUGGAAAUUGUGUGGCUGAAGCAAAGGCUGGUAGCAGAAUGAGAUUAAGGCAAGGCUACAGGCAGAUCAUCAAGGGUCUUCCAUGUCAAUACUUUAAUAGUAGUGGGGUAAGCAGUUCAGUGUGGGUUCCCUGCUAAGGGGAUCUCUGGUGGAGCUGCUUUGUGGUUAUCUUGAGUGAUAACCAUACCAAUUCAUUUCUGGAAGAAAUAAAAAGUAUACUAACUAGGAAAUAUUAAGUCUCACAAAGUUAGAUGUCACUUAACAUGAGUUUAGGUAGGAUGAUAUCUGAUGGGACAAUAAAGCUUAAGUAGCUUGAUAGUAGGGCAAAAUAGAACAUUACUAUAGAAUGGAACUGUGAAAGUACAAUACAGGGAGGUUUAUGAGGCGGUCAGGCAUAAACUAUGAAGUCAGGGCAUAGACUAUGACAUGGGGUCACUAUCUGGGCCCAGUUUGGGAUGCCACUUAUUACUCAUGGGAUCAUUUAAUGUUUCUGCUUAGUACCUAUUAAAUGGGUCUAUCAUUUAUGCCACAGACCUGAGGGAAAAGUCGAGGGUGAAAUGACAUAGUGCAAGUGCUUUGAGGAUGUGAAGAAAGUAAAGUGCAUUGAGCUAUCCUCAGAAAUCAGGGUAGAAGAAACAAGGAGAGCAUGAGGUGUAUAGAACAAAGGAUUAAGUGUAAACAGUUUCACAUCCAUGUGAUCUUGAAAUGAAAGCCUUCUAAAAUGGCUCUGAUAUUUACUGACAUUCAUGUGGAAAAUUUACUUUUACAUAGUGGUUUCCUUAGAAAUUCUACUUUUGGGGACGCCUGGAUGGCUCAGUGGUUGAGCAUCCAUCUGCCUUUGGCUCAGGGUGUGAUCCCGGAGUUCCAGGAUGGAGUCCUGCAUUGGGCUCCCCACAGGGG
rnacentral:lncRNA from 1 species